CUGAUGAUGGGGACACUGAUGAAAUAAAUCCUAAAACCUUUCCCAAGUCUCAUGGAAAUGCUCACCAUCAAUUUGAGAAAAAUUGGUGAUGACACAUCGUAUUUG